rnacentral:lncRNA from 1 species
AUCGGAGAACUCCUCGUAUACCGAUAGGAGAAUCGCUAUUCAACUUAGUCUAUGGAACAGAGGUGAUAAUUUUACUUGAGAUCGGAUUGCCAUCAGUGAGAGUCGAACAAUAUAAUGAGCUGAGUAAUUCUAAAUGUUAUAGAGCUGACCUAGACUUACUCUUGAAAGUCCAACAGCAAGCUCAAGUUCAGAUGGCAGCAUAUCGGUAGAGAGUAGCCUGGUAUUACAAUACAAAGGUCAAACUGAAAGUCUUUCAUCUAGGAGAUCUGAUUCUAAGAAAGGC